rnacentral:rRNA from 1 species
GUCGCAUGCUUCCGGGCGCCAUGGCGGCCGCGGGAAUUCGAUUAGAGUUUGAUCAUGGCUCAGGACGAACGCUGGCGGCGUGCCUAAUGCAUGCAAGUCGCACGCGCCACCUUCGGGUGGUGAGUGGCGCACGGCUGAGGAUCACGUGGGAACAUGCCUCCUUGUGGGGGACAACAGCGCGAAAGCGCUGCUAAUCCCGCAUACGCUCGCAAGAGGAAAGCGGCAACGCGCAGGGAGAGUGGCCCGCGGCCCAUCAGGUAGUCGGUGGGGUAACGGCCUACCGAGCCGAUGACGGGUAGCUGGUCUGUGAGGACAGACAGCCAGACUGGGACUGAGACACGGCCCAGACUCCUACGGGAGGCAGCAGCAAGGAAUUUUCGUCAAUGGGCGCAAGCCUGAACGAGCAACGCCGCGUGGAGGAUGACGGCCUUCGGGUUGUAAACUCCUUUUUCGGGGGACGAUAAUGACGGUACCCCGGGAAUAAGGCUCGGCUAACUCUGUGCCAGCAGCCGCGGUAAUAAUCACUAGUGAAUUCGCGGCCGCCUGCAGGUCGACCAUAUGGGAGAGCUCCCAACG